GAGUUUGAUCGUGGCUCAGGACGAACGCUGGCGGCGUGCCUAAUACAUGCAAGUCGAGCGGAUCUUCAUUAGCUUGCUUUUGAAGAUCAGCGGCGGACGGGUGAGUAACACGUGGGCAACCUGCCUGUAAGACUGGGAUAACUUCGGGAAACCGGAGCUAAUACCGGAUAAUCCUUUUCCUCUCAUGAGGAAAAGCUGAAAGACGGUUUCGGCUGUCACUUACAGAUGGGCCCGCGGCGCAUUAGCUAGUUGGUGAGGUAACGGCUCACCAAGGCGACGAUGCGUAGCCGACCUGAGAGGGUGAUCGGCCACACUGGGACUGAGACACGGCCCAGACUCCUACGGGAGGCAGCAGUAGGGAAUCUUCCGCAAUGGACGAAAGUCUGACGGAGCAACGCCGCGUGAGCGAUGAAGGCCUUCGGUCGUAAAGCUCUGUUGUCAGGAAGAACAAGUAUCGGAGUAACUGCCGGUACCUUGACGGUACCUGACCACGAAAGCCACGGCUAACUACGUGCCA
rnacentral:rRNA from 1 species